CGCCGCGAGUGUCGUGCGCAACAUGGCGGCGCCCAGGGAGGCCGAGGACGCCGGCGGCUGGUGAGAAGUUCCGGCCGCCGGUGAAGCUUCGUGCGGCCCGAGCGCGCACCGUGUGGUCCCUCCGCUCCGUGUUCCCCGCGCUCAGGUCUCGCGCGGUCGUCCUCCCAGGCUCUCGCGCGGUCGUCCUCCCAGGCCCCCGCGCGAUGUGGAGGAGCUGCCUCCGGCUGCGGGGCGGGGGUCGCCACCUCCUGAACUGCCCCCGGGGUGGCCUCACCGCCCCCGAGGGGCCGGGGCCAAAACCCCCGGCCCGCGCCCGGGCCUACGCGCCGCCGGCAGAAAGGAAGAGGUUCUACCAGAAUGUCAGCAUCACACAGGGUGAAGGUGGCUUUGAGAUCAAUCUGGACCACAGGAAGCUGAGGACUCCCCAAGCCAAGCUCUUCACCGUCCCCAGCGAGGCCCUGGCCGUCGCUGUGGCCACCGAGUGGGACUCCCAGCAGGACACCAUCAAGGCGUACACCAUGCACCUGACCACACUGUGCAACACGUCUCUAGACAACCCGACCCAGCGAGGCAAAGACCAGCUCAUCCAGGCAGCCGCAAAGUUCCUGGACACUGACACCAUCUGCUACAGGGUGGAAGAACCAGAGACGCUGGUGGAGCUGCAGAGGAACGAGUGGGACCCGGUCAUAGGCUGGGCCGAGAGGAGAUACGGCGUGAAGAUCGGCUCCUCCACCAGCAUCAUGGGGCCCAGCAUCCCAGCCCGGACUCGGGAGGUGCUGGUCAGCCACCUGGCCUCUUACAACACGUGGGCCCUACAAGGGAUCGAGUUUGUGGUGAGCCAGCUCAAGUCCAUGGUGCUGACCUUGGGCCUGAUCGACCUGCACCUGACGGUGGAGCAGGCCGUGCUGCUGUCGCGCCUGGAGGAGACGUUCCAGAUCCAGAAGUGGGGCAACGUCGAGUGGGCCCACGACUACGAGGUGUGGGACCUGCAGGCGCGCACGGCCGCUGGCGCCCUCUUCGUGCACCUCUGCUCCGAGAGCUCGGCCGUCAAGCACAAGCUGCUGCAGGGGUGAGGCCGGGCCCCAAGCCACGCACCUGGUGGAGGCCAGCUUGAGCCGAGGUAGGGGCAUGGGUGCGAGUGAUUGUAUUGAACGACUCUUCGCCUCGAACCGCAUGGAGCCUCCGCUCAUUGCUCCGGUCACCUCUGGGUCCCCGAGGCCACCCUGCCUACCCACAGGGCACGUGCUGCUGGGCCGGACCCUCCCACUGGGGAGCUCUCAGUGGCCCUCAGCCCCAAGGCUUUUGUCUUCCGGUUUUUAAUCAAACAGUCUUUUAAAAAUGAGUCCCUCUUGGUCCGAGCCAUCUGUUUCUGUUUGUUUGUUCCUACUGUUUUAGCAAAAAUGAUUUACUCUUAAAAAUAGAAAGUAGGGUUUUCCUGGUGGCACAGUGGUUACGAAUCCGCCUGCCAAUGCAGGAGACACGGGUUCGAGCCCUGGUCUGGGAAGAUCCCACAUGCCGCGGAGCAACUAAUAAGCCCGUGUGCCACAACUACUGAGCCUGCGCUCUAGAGCCCAAGAGCCACAACUACUGAGCCCUCGCGCCUAGAGCCCAUGCUCCGCAACAAGAGAAGCCACGGCAAUGAGAAGCCCGCGCACCACAACUACUGAGCCUGCGCUCUAGAGCCCGAGAGCCACAACUACUGAGCCCAUGUGCCACAACUACUGAGCCCAUGUGCCACAACUACUGAGCCCUCGCGCCUAGAGCCCAUGCUCCGCAACAAGAGAAGCCACGGCAAUGAGAAGCCCGCACACCGCAACGAAGAGUAGCCCCUGCUCGCCGCAACUAGAGAAAGCCUGCACACAGCAUCGAAGACCCAACACAGCCAAAAAUAAAUAUAAAUAAUUUUAAAAUAUAUAUUUAAAAAAAUAGAAAGUAAACAAUGUUUGUUGUUUCUGGGAUAAAAGCCUGGGCAAGGCCACCUGAUGUGCACAUGACCUGCUCAGGGAUCCCAAGGUCCUCCUGACAGGGCCACUCACAGGGCUCCAGACUGCAGGCGGGGUCUCUGGGUGUCUGGGCCCAGGUCAAGGAGCAGGAAGAGUGUGCGAGUUUGGGGCACAAAGGCCUCGGAGCUGCUGGGCCUUGCUCGCCCCCCUUCCGGGGGCCCUGGCCACCUCACCACAAGCCCCCACCCCGCACCGUGAGUGUGCUCGCCAGAGGUACUGUCACAUCCCCACCUCAUGGGUGACGCCCAGCUGUGCUCUCAGCUGUGGAGGGUCCUUGGGUCCCCGCGGCCUCCGCCUCGGUGGGCUGGCCGGGCCCCCAGGCUGUGCUGGGAGCUGUACCUGGGGAAGGGCCUGCCCUGGGCGCCGCGGAGGGGCGGCCGAGAGCCUAGGAGUCGCUCUCAGAAGACGCCAGCUGCUCAGAUGUGGACACAGAGGUUGGAGAAAGGAGGUGGAUGUCGUGUGAGGCCCCGACCGCGUUAACGAUCGUGUCCUUGUCGACAAAGAGCUGGGGAGCAAGGAGGAGCAGGUGAGGGCCUGGACCCGCCCUGAGCGCAGAGGCGCUGGAGCCAGAGGGGACGGGGCUCAGCUCCCCGCAGGUGGAGGCGGCACCCAGCCCGCAUCCUGCUUCCUCGGGCCCGUCUCGGGUGACCACGCCGUCGGCCCAGCAGCACCAGUGCCCGGAAAGGGCCCCUGGGCGGCGGGGCAGUCCCUGUGGGGAGCGUGCCCUCCCCAAGAGAAGGCAGGGCCGCCCCAGCCACCUCACCAAGGUUCUCCAGUCUGACUUGCCUGAAACUUGCCCGUCGGGUGGGCAGCACGAGGCCGGCCGAGGGGCACAGGGCUCCUCUGAGGACAGAAGUCCCACAAACCAAUGGGUCUCUGCUGCCCCUCACGUCAACCCAGUCGGACCUGGGGUCCCAUCUGGGCUCCUGCCUUGUUCCCACCCGCUUCCCCGCCGUGGACGACGCUGUGGGACACGGCCCUCGCCAGGCCCAGCUGGUUCCAGGUGUUCACACGUGAACAGGCCACAUGUGCCUGGCGCGGCUGCGGGUCCAUGUGGUCACUUCCCAGAGUGGGGAGGCCUUCACUGGCGGCUGCUUCAGCUUUAAGCGGAGGCGCUUCGUGUCGCCAGCGACGGCGAGGGACCUGAAAGCUCUGCGUUGUAGAGAGGGCGCGGGCGGGUGUGUACACGUGGGUUUCUCUCUCCUUCGGGAGUGGUUAACCUAAUGAUCUCCAGAAUACAGUCUAUGGAUUUUGAAA